rnacentral:lncRNA from 10 species
GGAGAAUUCUACUGUUUUUCUCCAGCAGCUCCACGAUAAAAGGGAACCCUGAGCAGAACACAUGCACAAACUCAUGCCAUACCCUAAGGGACAAGGUUCCCCACAUCUACUUGGAAAUCUUUGGGAUGCUCAAUGAUUAGCUCUUUGGAACUGAGAGAUGAGAUGAGGCCUGGAAAACUUCCCCCAGUACAGUCAAGUUCCUGUUGACUAAUUCUGUGACCACCAGUGACAGUCUUUGAGUCCGUGAGGCAGAGUUGCGGCAGCACAGGCUUUGCUUGGAGUUGGAUGGUUCGCACCCUGCUUGGCAUGGUUUCUAAGAGACAUCCUCUGAGUGGAUGAGGGGAGAAUCCAGCAGGCCUCUAGUCACACUGAGCACACAGCAGUGAAGUAAACAAACUCCCUUGCCCUCAUGGAUUUUAU